rnacentral:rRNA from 1 species
AGAGUUUGAUCCUGGCUCAGGAUGAACGCUGGCGGCGUGCCUAACACAUGCAAGUCGAACGGGAACAGAAUGAAACCUAGUGAUUUUGUUUAGUGGCGGACGGGUGAGUAACGCGUGGGUAACCUGCCGUAUACAGGGGGAUAACACUUAGAAAUAGGUGCUAAUACCGCAUAAGCGCACAGCUUCGCAUGGAGCAGUGUGAAAAGCGUAAACGGUAUACGAUGGACCCGCGUCUGAUUAGCUAGUUGGCGGGGUAGAGGCCCACCAAGGCGACGAUCAGUAGCCGGCCUGAGAGGGUGACCGGCCACAUUGGGACUGAGACACGGCCCAAACUCCUACGGGAGGCAGCAGUGGGGAAUAUUGCACAAUGGGGGGAACCCUGAUGCAGCGACGCCGCGUGAGUGAAGAAGUAUUUCGGUAUGUAAAGCUCUAUCAGCAGGGAAGAAAAUGACGGUACCUGACUAAGAAGUCCCGGCUAACUACGUG